UGAACGCUAGCGGUAUGCUUAACACAUGCAAGUCGUACGGGAGUUUUUAACUCAAGUGGCGGACGGGUGAGUAACACGUGAGAAUUUACCUUUAGGAGGGGGAUAACAAUUGGAAACGAUUGCUAAUACCCCAUAUGCUUUUUUAAGUGAAACGGAUUUAUUCGCCUAAAGAAAAGCUCGCGGCUUAUCAGCUUGUUGGUGGGGUAGUGGCUUACCAAGGCUUUGACGGGUAGCCGGCCUGAGAGGGUGACCGGCCACAUUGGGACUGAGAUACGGCCCAGACUCCUACGGGAGGCAGCAGUGGGGAAUAUUGGUCAAUGGAGGGAACUCUGAACCAGCCAUGCCGCGUGCAGGAUGACUGCCCUAUGGGUUGUAAACUGCUUUUGUCAGGGAAUAAACCUUUCCACGUGUGGGAAGCUGAAUGUACCUGAAGAAUAAGGAUCGGCUAACUCCGUGCCAGCAG
rnacentral:rRNA from 1 species